UUCUUGAUUUCUUAUAAGUUAUACUAUGUAGAAAUCAAUAAAAUUUAAGAAAAUAUAAUUUUUUUAUUACCAGAAAGUUCGGACCAAAACCUUAAUCUUUCCAAACCCAAAACCACAUGUAAUACUCCCUCCGUUUUUUAAUAUAAGUCGUUUUACAGGUAUGCACAUAGAUUAAGAAAACCUUUAAUUUUUUAUAUUUUCUAAACAAAAACAUCAUUAAUUAUUUACCUAACCACAAUUCAACCAAUAGAAAAAUAUAAGAUAUAUUAUCAUUGGUCAUACAACAUUAAUUAUUAAUAAAUUUUACAUAGAAAACCGAAACGACAUAUAAUUUGGAACAAAAAAAUUUCUCUAAAACGACUUAUAAUAAAAAACAGAGGGAGUAUUAGUUUUGUUCUAAUGGUCAUUCGAAAUAACCAAAUAUUAUUUCUUUAUGUGGUAGCACUAGAACCUGCACCUACUAUAUUAAUAUAAUUGGCCUUAAAAUGAGGAAAAAUCAAUAUAUCACGGUUCUAU
rnacentral:lncRNA from 1 species